rnacentral:rRNA from 1 species
ACUCAAAGGAAUUGACGGGGGCCCGCACAAGCAGCGGAGCGUGUGGUUUAAUUCGAUGCAACGCGAAGAACCUUACCUGCGCUUGACAUGGACCUGCACCGCGGGUAACGCCGCGUCCGCUUCGGCGGCGAGUCCACAGGUGCUGCAUGGCUGUCGUCAGCUCGUGCCGUGAGGUGUUGGGUUAAGUCCCCUAACGAGCGCAACCCCUGGGGUCCGUUACCUUGGUGUCGGGCCCGACUGCCGCGCGCAACGCGGAGGAAGGUGGGGAUGACGUCAAGUCAGCACGGCCCUGACGCGCAGGGCGACACACACGCUACAAUGGCCGGUACAACGGGUUGCCAAGCCGCGAGGCGGAGCCAAUCCCAGCAAAGCCGGUCUCAGUUCGGAUCGCAGGCUGCAACUCGCCUGCGUGAAGUCGGAGUUGCUAGUAACCGCGGGUCAGCACACCGCGGUGAAUACGUUCCCGGGCCUUGCACACACCGCCCGU